rnacentral:rRNA from 1 species
UACGUAGGGUGCGAGCGUUGUCCGGAAUUAUUGGGCGUAAAGGGCUCGUAGGCGGCUUGUCGCGUCGGGAGUGAAAACCCAGGGCUUAACCCUGGGCUGGCUUCCGAUACGGGCAGACUAGAGGUAUGCAGGGGAGAACGGAAUUCCUGGUGUAGCGGUGAAAUGCGCAGAUAUCAGGAGGAACACCGAUGGCGAAGGCAGGUCUCUGGGCAUUAACUGACGCUGAGGAGCGAAAGCAUGGGGAGCGAACAGG